UACGUAGGGGGCGAGCGUUGUCCGGAUUUAUUGGGCGUAAAGAGCGUGUAGGCGGCCAGGUAGGUCUGAUGUGAAAGCCCUGGGCUCAACCUGGGAAUGGCAUUGGAAACUGGCGACCUAGAGUGCGGUAGAGGGCAGUGGAAUUCCCGGUGUAGCAGUGAAAUGCGUAGAGAUCGGGAGGAACAUCUGUGGCGAAGGCGACUGCCUGGACCAGCACUGACACUGAGGCACGAAAGCGUGGGGAGCAAACAGG
rnacentral:rRNA from 1 species